CAUAGGUUAAUGAGGCGAACCGGGGGAACUGAAACAUCUAAGUACCCCGAGGAAAAGAAAUCAACCGAGAUUCCCCCAGUAGCGGCGAGCGAACGGGGAGCAGCCCAGAGCCUGAAUCAGUGUGUGUGUUAGUGGAAGCGUCUGGAAAGGCGCGCGAUACAGGGUGACAGCCCCGUACACAAAAAUGCACAUACUGUGAGCUCGAUGAGUAGGGCGGGACACGUGGUAUCCUGUCUGAAUAUGGGGGGACCAUCCUCCAAGGCUAAAUACUCCUGACUGACCGAUAGUGAACCAGUACCGUGAGGGAAAGGCGAAAAGAACCCCGGCGAGGGGAGUGAAAAAGAACCUGAAACCGUGUACGUACAAGCAGUGGGAGCACGCUUAGGCGUGUGACUGCGUACCUUUUGUAUAAUGGGUCAGCGACUUAUAUUCUGUAGCAAGGUUAACCGAAUAGGGGAGCCGAAGGGAAACCGAGUCUUAACUGGGCGUUAAGUUGCAGGGUAUAGACCCGAAACCCGGUGAUCUAGCCAUGGGCAGGUUGAAGGUUGGGUAACACUAACUGGAGGACCGAACCGACUAAUGUUGAAAAAUUAGCGGAUGACUUGUGGCUGGGGGUGAAAGGCCAAUCAAACCGGGAGAUAGCUGGUUCUCCCCGAAAGCUAUUUAGGUAGCGCCUCGUGAAUUCAUCUCCGGGGGUAGAGCACUGUUUCGGCAAGGGGGUCAUCCCGACUUACCAACCCGAUGCAAACUGCGAAUACCGGAGAAUGUUAUCACGGGAGACACACGGCGGGUGCUAACGUCCGUCGUGAAGAGGGAAACAACCCAGACCGCCAGCUAAGGUCCCAAAGUCAUGGUUAAGUGGGAAACGAUGUGGGAAGGCCCAGACAGCCAGGAUGUUGGCUUAGAAGCAGCCAUCAUUUAAAGAAAGCGUAAUAGCUCACUGGUCGAGUCGGCCUGCGCGGAAGAUGUAACGGGGCUAAACCAUGCACCGAAGCUGCGGCAGCGACGCUGAUGCGUUGUUGGGUAGGGGAGCGUUCUGUAAGCCUGUGAAGGUGUGCUGUGAGGCAUGCUGGAGGUAUCAGAAGUGCGAAUGCUGACAUAAGUAACGAUAAAGCGGGUGAAAAGCCCGCUCGCCGGAAGACCAAGGGUUCCUGUCCAACGUUAAUCGGGGCAGGGUGAGUCGACCCCUA
rnacentral:rRNA from 1 species